AUGGACUCGCUUCUUGCCACCUACGCCUCUUCCGACGAAGACGCCGACGAGAGCAUCCCCACACCCGCUCCCGCGACCCGCCGCAGCGAGGCCAGCGGAAAGCCCGCCGGCAGCAUCUUCUCCGCGCUCCCGCAACCCAAGUCGGCGCCUAUCUUCUCCUCACUCCCGGCGCCGAAAUCCGCCCCGACCUUCUCCUCCACCCCGCCUCCCAAAUCCUCCGCUUCCUCCGGAAACCCUAAGCGCGUCGUCCAGUUCCGCCCGCCGCCGAUCCGCCAGACCACCGGGGUCAGCUCGGACGAGGAGGAUGACGCCGAGAAGCGCCGUCCCAGCGCUAGCGAGGCGCCCCCGCCCCCGUCUGCUGGAUCGGGGCCGGUGUCUUCGUUCCUCCCGGCGCCCAGGCACUCGCUUGGCUUCGGCUCCGGCGCGGCCAGGAGGUCGGCCGUAGACACCGCCGGGCCGGAGAGGUCAAAUCUUGGUGCUGCUGGCCCCUCUAGCUCGGCUGUCAACAGAGGAGCGCCAGAAAGGUCCGAUACUGGCCCUGCGGACGAGGACGAUCCUGAGGAAAGCAGCGAUGAGGACGGCAUGCCUGCUCCGGAGCAGCAGCAAGAACAACAGGAUCUUGGUGCUGGAGCUGGAGACGUCCAACACCAGGGCUAUGAUGCUGGAGUUGGAAACGCUAAUGGGUACGAAGGCUAUGCAUGGGAUCCAAACUAUUAUGCAUAUUAUGGUUUGGAUCCGAAUAGCAAUUUGAAUUAUGGGGCUGAACCACAGUAUGCAGCAUAUGGAGUAGAGCAAGGUGGUGGGUAUGCAAAUGGAUAUGGCGGGGAGCACAGUGGUGGAUACGAGCAUUCGACAGCGCCUCCAUGUGGAGGGGAAUAUACUGGAGGUUACAGUGCUGAGGCUGUGGCAAUGGCAGCGCCACCAAUGCCGGAGCCGGCACUGCCACCAGAAUUGGGCAGGAUUGGAGUGAAGAGAGGUAGGAGGGAUAUGCCUAUGGAGAUUAUAGAGGUGAAUCAGGCAGAACUGGUCAAGAACCGUCCGAGGGAGGACAAAUCCAAGCUCACGGGGAUGGCCUUUGGUCCUAGUUACCAGGCCGCCCCUUCGGGGAAGGGAAAGCCCUCCAAGCUGCAGAAGAGAAAGCAUCAGAUCGGUUCUCUCUUCUACGACCUGAAGCAGAAGGAGAUGGAGCUUACCGAGAGGCGUGCCAAGGGCUUCCUCACGAAAGCGGAGACUCAAGCAAAAUAUGGGUGGUGA
rnacentral:rRNA from 1 species